UGGAAGACUAGUGAUUUUGUUGUUCUGACUUAUAAAAGUGACAACAAAUCAUAGCCUGCCAUA
rnacentral:pre_miRNA from 1 species